GUGUCCUGGCUACCACGUGAGGCACUUUCUCAGUGUCAGUGCCUCAGCUGUUUCCUGAAGUUACCAAUAUGAGCCAGGAUCACCACAGGUAUUGGCUGCACUUCUGUAGGGUUGUGGGGCUGUGUAGAGUCACUGGUAGGCUGUGUAGAUGCCCAUGCUGAAAGAGGGUUCUGAUGCUGAAGACUUUCCUUCAAAAGAAGCAGAAGUGGAGGAAGAGACAAAGUGAACAGAUACACACACAGAGCAUACCACCAGAAUGUAUACAUGGGACACAAUUGCUGCAAAGCCAUUCAACUCAAGCUGUGAUGUUAAUGCACCUAAAGUACGGGUCGUUAAAUCCUCAGCUUACUUUGUGUGGAGAAGAAAGCAAGCACAGGCAAGUCAUAGCCUGCUGAAAUAGUAAACCAAUGAUCAAGUCUAUGAACAAACCCUAGGGCCCAUACCAUCCCACUGAGGCCUCCUGGACAGCCAAACUCUACAGUGCCUGCAGACAGAAGCUCAGCUCAAUGUGCCACCACCUAACUUCAAGUGUCACUUCUAACCCCAGGCACCAGCACCCUUGGAGAGGCUAAGCCAGAUGGAAAACUGCUCUGUAGAAAAGGACCUUGGAGUCAUGGUGGACAAUAAACUGUACACCAGCAGUGUGUCAUGAGGUAAAGGUGCCUCCCAGGCUGGAUUAACAAAAACACAGCCAGCAGGCAGAGGGAGAUGAUCCUUACACCCUAAUCAGCACUUGUAAGGUCCCAUCUGGAUGUUGUGGGUUCCACAAUAAGAGAGGAGGACUUACUGGAAUGACUCCAGCACAGGACCAGUUUAAUGGACUUGAGUAUCCAUCACAUGAGGAGAUGCUGAGAGAGCUGGGACUCUUCAACCUGAAGAAAAGAAAGCUUACAGGAUACUACCACUGUGUAUAGCUGAAAGGCAGGAAUGAAGAAGAGGAAGCCAGAUUCCUCUGACUUUUUUUUGUCCACUGACAGAACAAGAAGCAAUAGUGAGAAAUUCCAAACUAAGAAAUUGAAUAUGAAUCCAUGAAGACUUUUUUUUUGUUUGAAGAUGGUCAACCACUGGACUGUGUUGCACAAUCAGGUUGUGGAGUGCUCAUCCUUGGGGAUAUUCAAAAUCUGACUGGGCAACAUUCUGGGCAACCUCUUCUAGGUGACCCUGCUUGAGCAAGGAGUUGGACCAGAUGAUCUCAAAAGGUCAUUUCCAGCUAAACAAUUCUUUGAUUGUGUGUGCUACAUGCCAAAGGACCAGUGAAGAGCCAAGACAAUUCAGUAACUCUUUUGAAUGACCUGGGUUUUGGCCUUUUUGAAGAGCAUCCUUGGGAGCAAGGGAAAGAUACUAAGCAAGUCCCUGCUGUUUCUGUGUGGUGUCACAGAAAGAGAGUAAAACAACCUUUGGAAAUCCAUAAUUUCUCCUUACAAAAUUCAGGGGUAUUUGCAGUAGUGCAACCAAUUAGAGUUUUCUAAAUUACCACCAUGAUUACUGUUGCCCUCCUUCAUAUCCAUGAAUGUUAUUUCUAUAAACUAAGAUAAUAUCCCUCCCAUGCAAAACCCAAAACACUCCCACAAAAACUACUAAACAAAAAACUGCAACAGAAUGACUGCUACAUAUUGAAAAAUGGAGCCCUUCAGUGGUCUGAAUAUCAUCUACUUUCAAAUUGCUUCCUCCAACAGAAAAUGGAAGGCAAAGAAAUUGCAGGACCUGGGUGGAAAUACACUGACCUACCUCUAUCAGAGCAUAAAGUAUACAAGUGGAACCAUUCUCUGUGUGACACACAGUGGGAAAAGCUCACUCUCCUGUCAUCUGAAAUAGAACCAAAGAGGGUGCCAUUGCCACCUCUAACUCUUGGAGGAUCCCAAAAUCUCUUAAAGGUUCACCCAGAGUCAGAUUCCCCACUGAGCUACAGACAGGGCUAAAGUUUACAUGAUUCUGUUGAAAACCUGCUCUGGUGUAAAACAAGACUGGUGUGGGAGCCUGCUGCAGGAUAAAGGUGAAUGAUUAAACUUAUUAGGUCACUUUGCUAACCUAUGUUUAGGCACAAAAUUCUGCUUUUAGAACAACUGAUUGAAAUGCCCAUUUUAGGGCCAGGAAAGAAGAUUGUUUUUGUAGUAAUACUACAGCGAGGUUUUCUUCCAACAAAGCAUUUCCACCAAGAGGAACUAUUACAUGCAUUCAAAUUGUCUAUCAAAAUGUAACCACUCAUUAAGAACAAAAAAUGACUGUGAAAUUGCAAUAUAGGCCCCAUUUAAUUUUAGUGGGAAUUCCAGGCCUUUACUGUUAGGAAAGUUAACACCUCUCAUCAGCUCUGCAGACACCAUAAUGAGUCACCUCUCAUCCUUUGGUUUUUCCAAUUAAUGAUGUGGCCUGUUUUCAUACACUCAUUAAUGAUCAAUCAUAACUGAAUAUUUUGCAGGUUUAUUUGGUUAUACUACAUAGAAUUUAGCAAAUAUGUCAUAGUUCUACAGGGAACUUUAACAUCCAGUCAUAUGCCCCUGUUUUUUGAUGCUUUUUAUAUAGAAGGGCAGUUUAGUGGUUUAUAUGAAAGAUUUCAACAAUAAAUUAGAAUUGUAAGUGGGUCUGUGCCUAUACUCGGGGCCAAGAAAUAUCACUGGAUUUCUCCUUUGUUCAAAUUGUGCUGGCACUUAUGAUGAGCAGCAUGGUUGAUUUAAGAGUGCUAUGCCAUCAAAACAUAGAAUGAAAAAAAUGACAUCUGGGUUUUUUCUUCCAAUACAAACUUAAUUAUUAAUCAAAGCUAUGACACACACUAAACACUGGAAAAUGGCUCAAGAGCAUUAGGAAUUUAUUUUUCUCAGUGGAGUCUUUGGAAGUCUUUUAAUAAUCAGACCACAGGACUAAUUUACAUCUGUGCAGCUCCCAGUUAGAUUUUUGACCUAGUACUUUUGUUACAUUCAUGUGUAAGGCAUUUUUUUUGGGAGAAAUAUGGGAAGGGUAAAAAAUACCAGUGAAUGGACUUGGAAAAAUUUAUCCUGCUUUCAUUACUAUUUCAGGUCUUUAAGCUCCUGGUCUGAGUCUACAGAUUUUAAUGAAAACUGCAUGAUUGUCCAGUAUCUGUGAUAGGAAAUUAUUUUAUCUAAAAUCAAAUAGAUUACCAUGCAAACAACAGAUUCAUCUAUUAAAUAAAUUCCUCUACUGAGGCUAAUUGUUUUCUCUUAGCUUAGUGCUAGUUUCUGCAAUACAGGCAAGUUACCAAUGAGUGAAAGCAAAUUUUAUAGGCACUGAGCAGUCUUUAUAUUAAAAAAACCCCAAUCCACAGGUCUGUAGCACUAUGGUAGCUAUUUUUCUCAUUCCUUUUUGAAGUACAGCACAGUGAUUAUAUGUACCAGAUGGUAACAUUUUAUGCAUAUUGACCUGGACUACCUCUGAAAUAGCAACUUAAUGUUAAUGAGGGGUAGCUGAAUUGCUGAACUGCUUCUUUGUACAUCUCUGUUUUUUAAACAUGGUUUCUUGUUUUGUGACCGAUGGUCUUGCUAGGACCAGGAUAUCACAUACUGUGCAUUCCUGUACUUAGAUAACAUGAGUUGAAUUUCACUGAUAUAGGAAGUCAGAUCUCUAUCAGAAAACUGUGGCUUAAAAUGAGACUAAUCUACAACUCUCCUGAAAUUUACAAUUACUAAUUUUAUUUUUUAACUAACACUUGCAGUGUCAACAGCUGUGAAGAAAUAGGCACACUCCAUAGAACAUAAGAAACACUACUAUUUCACAUAUAUGUAGUGUACUAUCUUCUGGGGACAAAAAUGCAGUUUUCUAGCUUAUUUCACAUUACCUAGUAAAGUUUAACUAUGAUCAGACAUGACUGUUCAGUUUGAAUAUUAACUUAAGUCCCCUCCAAAGCACCUAUAACUCCAAGCCUCAAUGUUCUGUAAGGGCCACUGAGAAAGCCCAAUUGAGAGUAAAUACAUGCAAGGGAGAAAGGAAUUGGAUGCUCUGCACACACACACACGAGACACACCCAUACAGCUCUGAGAAAAAUGCACUGGGGAAACACAACUGCAACCAAGCAUGAACACUGCAAGUAUAAUAAAAAGAAUGUUGAAUAAUC